AUCAAGCCUAAAAGGACGACAAAUCGGUUAUAAUCCUCAGUGGAUCAUAUGCAAAACAAGAAAAAUGUUUGGAAAACAAUACAAAAUCUACAUAAAAAGUAAUUUAUCACUAGUACAUAUUGAAAUUCACUUGACUGGAAAAUAUUUGGUCUAGAGAUUAGUGUCUAGAUGGAAUGACGACAUUAAAUUUGAAUAGGCAACGCUGCAAGAUGAAAUCACGAAGACCUUAAGGAUUGCAUAGUUAAACAUGAAAGUAAAUUAUUCAAGCAAAGGCAAAAUUAUUGGAACCACGGGGCAAAAAUGGAACCUCAUCCACAAAAAUGGAACAGUUAAAACCAAAGGUGCCAAUAAAUUCCAACAGAAAUGAGGCAUCGUGAAAGUCAUCAAUCUACAGCGAAGAAGAGGUGCAUAAAUGGUUGCUGUCUCGCCAGACCUUAUUUUAAGGAGAUUUUAUCACUGCACCAUUUAUUUUCUAGAAUCAACAAAAUAAAAAACCAAGGCUGUAUGCAAACAAGACUGUACGAAAAGGGAGGAUGUUUAAGCUUUGAAUCUUUUUUCGUUGUAGACUACAAUUUACAAUAUAAACUUUUCUUUGGUUUGUUUGCGUUGCUUUUCAUAUAAGUUCGGCUGCGUUUUAGCCUCUAUUUGCACAAUAAAUUCUUGAUUAUUAUCUUACGGCAUAUUAUCACUGUAAAACUUUCUAAUUAUCACUGCAGAUUUUGGAUUUAUCAUUGCGAACGUUGUCUUGUCUGUCAUAGAGCCUUUGGAUCAGGAUUCUGUCUCGAGCGACUUCGCAGCAGCUGAAUUUCGGCAUUAGAAGGAUGUUGCCAAUUUCGCAUUUUACAGCAUGCAGAAGCGAUAGAUAAAGUCGCAACUCAUCGGCUAUAUUAAAGGCAUUUGAAACGGGUAAAAGUGGCUUACAGCAACUCGACCACGAGCGGUUGACCAAUCAAAUUUCGCACAGAGAAAAACACGUGAACAGUUUCAGUCUUUCUGCAAAUCGGUGAAAUCCUAGACCAGCGCGCAGUGGUUUAACGUGAUCAGUUUCCAAUUCCAUUCUUGUGCGCGUGCUCUGAUCAAUUUGGCCUAAGUUAUUUUUGGAUUCGCUGUACUUAUGCAUGUCAAAUGCCUUUAAGUUCGGUGCUAAGUCACUGAGUGGGUGGUUAAUGGCUUUCUCCAUUAAAAGGUAAUCAAUAUUGAAUUACCCUUUGACUACCAAAGGGGCCAUUAUGACGUGCCACAAAUGCCCUAGCCAUAAAACUGUUACAAUGCUAUCAAAUCAUUUCAAAUCAUGUCAGUUUAAGAAAUGAAAUAUUUUCCAUCAUUGUUUCAAUAUGUGAAGCUGGAUUAAGAAGACGAUGAAGAAACAGCAAAGAGUAUAUGACAUUUUAUAAUAUUUAAGACAAUGUAGGCAAACGUUCAUAAUUGAAAAAAUGUUAGUCUGGCUUGUUUAAGUAAACAGUCCAUCCAGUAACGCCUGGCUAAACGUUGUACAAUCAAAUUUACAAUAAAAUAAACAGUUAAAUCGAAAAGUAUUUUGGGUUUUAGAUUCGGCUUUGAAAUCUUCAGGCAGCAACAAAAGGCAGCAAAACUCAAAUAUCUAAAUAUUACGUUUCAUACAGGAAACGUUUUCUAAAAUUGUUUAUAAACAUUAUGUCAAAAAUGUUAUUGGAAAAUAAUUGCAACGAUAAUGCAGGGUUUAAAAUCUCAAGAGUUUAAUAAUCUUAGGAAAUCUGAGUGGCAAGUGUCUCCAAUUAAAUCGAUGACAAAAUGGCAUUUUUUUCAAUGCUGUGUUUGUCUAAGCAAUGGUCAUUAUCAAGAACUUAAAUACUUCUGUCUUUUACCAAGAUAGCAGUACUCGGAACCAGGGCCGUGAAAAGCCAGCUCGGGUUCAAGUGUGAUUCACAAAACUGGGCCCUCGUAAAAUAACUUUCUGUGACCAGGCCUUUCAGUCUCUCGAACAACUAGGGAAACAAUUUAGGGAAACGCCCUCUUAAGGUACAAGUGUCUGAAAAUAUUCUUAAGAAGACUUUGCAAAAACAUUUUAUUCAUGAAUCAAGGACAGGGCAUCGUAUUUCUCUAUGAUAAACGUACAGGCAUCGACCCCACACAUGUUUUCUGGGAUGUAAAUAGAUCUUGUAACAAUCUGAUAGUAACAUGGUGUAAGAUUAUUAUCGGCCCCUUCGGAGCACGGGCCCCGAACCUUUUGCUCCUCCUAACCACACUCCUUUUGACGCUGUUGCCCAGGACAAGAUAAACUUUACGGCACUCGUUUGAAGGUUUGGCGGGGGCAACUGAGCAAAACUAAGAAAACAGCCUGAAAAACAAAUAAUUUUCCAUUUGGGAUUUUAAUAAUUACUUUUGAAUUGGUAAGAUAUCAGACCGAAAUAUGAUAAACGAGCAAAUAUUUAACACAAUAGACAUAAAAGAUCAACCAGAAAUAGCGAAAAUAUGUACCAGACAUCAGAGGUUAUCUUUGAGAUAAGGGCUAAAAAAAGCUGCUUAUAGAAAGGACAAAAAGAAUACGUUUCCGUGUGGAAAAGAUAAUACUUUUUUAGUUUCACUUUGUUUUACCUAUGGCCUCGUUUCGAAAAUUACCCUAAUAGCACAAAUUUUGGUCUAAAUACCGAUUUUCAUCCCCUUAUUGCUGGGGUGAUUGUAAGAUAAAUUGUGAGAUGCGUGGGUUUAUUGUAAGAAAAAUUAUAAGAAAAAGAUACAUUGUAGGGAAUUUGCCCAUGAAAACGUACGAAGGUCCAGAGUUUUGCCGGGUGGAAGAGCAAACUUCUGUUCUAGAGAGAAGGUGCAUUUUCGGGUUCCCCGUGGGGGUUUGAGGGAUGGGGUUAUAAAGGACUGUAUGUGUAAGCAAUUGUCGGAUGAAUAAACUGAACAGGCAAACACGGAUAAAUAAUUCCGCAACACAUGAUUCACACUGGAUAUCACACUGAAUCAACUGUUUCUCCGUUCAAAUGGAAAAUAAAGGAUGAUAUGAUGCCAUUACUUCCCAGUCAGAAUUAUUCAUUUUAACAAAAGAGAAAUGAGUUCACGAGAGAGCAUUCAAUAAAACCACGCCGUGCAGGAUCCACAUCGACAAAGAGUCAUGACUUGCCAAUAAGUUAAACUCAAAAAAUUGCAAAACGACCGUUUUAAUAUUAAUGCUUUUCAUGGUAAUGACUGAAGACAUAUUAAGAAGAGUUUAGCCAGAACUAAAAAGUGUUUCCGGAGGCUCGAAAAAGAUGCAAACACCGGACUUUAAUGAAUUGAAUUCAAAUAUCAACAAUUCGGUACAGAUAUUGCUAGACAAAUUGUAAACUCCAGUCUGGCCAUUUGGUCAGCUAACAAACGUUAUUAUUGAAUUACUGGUUUUUCAAAGCCGCAACUUUCUGCUGUUCAAGCAGACCAUCACACACAAAAAAUUAAAUCAAAUAUAUUACGUAAUUCUGAAAUUUGCCGAGAUCUCGUUUGAGUUUAUGGUGGCGAGUCCCUUAAAAGCGGGAAUUCUUAAUGAUAUGUAAAGACGUCGUUGUAGAUCACAACCUUUGAAAUUUUUACCACCAUUUUCCGGAUAAGCAUGACUUUCCCUAAAACUUUUAAAAAGUUUCUCAAUGCGUCAGCCCCGGUGGCACCUGGCUCUUGUAAAAGAAUUUUAGCAGAUAACUUACGAUUCGCUGCUGCAAAACAAAUCUUCGAAUAGUUCCUUGCGUAUUGCAUCGUAUUCUGUAAUUUCGAUGUCUCCGGUCGCAUCCAUUGCUUGAAGUAAUAGGUCCUCUUACAUGCAUUUGACCAUAUGAUACGGGCCACAUAUAGAAAUUGCUCGAUUUUCAAGCAUGACACGCUAGAUGAUUUCCGCGAUGUUUUUGCGCUUCAAUGCUCAUGAUUGUUCCUUGUACAUUGAAAUACACUUCACGUUCUUAGGCGUAUUAUGCAAAUUGUAUUGUGCGGCGAAAAACAUUUUCUUUGAUUAACAAGAUUAUGAAUCGUGUGACACAAUCAAAUCAGCCAUCCCCCGUCAUAAAAGCUACUAGUAGGGUUAACUGUCGAUUUCCACUCCAACAACACGGGGGAGUAUUUGUACAGCCUUUUUGAGGCUUCCAGUCUAAUAUACAAAAUUACAAGAAACAUUGCUAUCCACAUUGCCCGCAGAGGGGAAAGAAUGAUGUUGGUUUAAAGGAAAGAUUUACGGCAAAUCCACCCUGGGCUUCAGCGUUGGCUAUGAUUCAAAUAUGACCACUUUUCCAGGGUGAUGCAACCACUAGAUAUGCGUGUAUCAUGAAAGACAGCUGAAAAGAUCACAAGGCAGAUCAUGAAAGACUAAAAGAAUGGAAGGAAUUUCAAGAGAAAUGUAGAGAUUCGGCACAAAGAGGGUAACGUCAAAAUCUUUUUACCCUCCCAAAAUAGGAAAUUAACAAGAUUGUUAUUCAGUGUUUCAUCAAGUGAAAUCUAUCUAAAAAUUACUGCAAGUGAGCGAUCUGAUUUUCUCAAAAGAGGUAUCUAAUUGUGUCAAUAUGGGAAAUAAUGUUUGCAAAAUUAUUGCUACGAGAUCAUCAACAUAGAAGUGAAAACCUCUUGGUUAGGAUCAUGCUAGUUUUUGUAAUACAGUUACUGUGCGCAUACCAUAUGAAUGCUUGAAGAUUUUUGGUAUUUAUGCUUAUGCUAGGUCAGAUAAAGAGCGUUGUAUUUUUAUAGCUCUAAGAGGGAUGACUUCCAAAUGAAAUUCGUGUCCAACAAAAGAACGAAACUUGAAACGGAUAGAUGCAAUGGUUGCCAAAAACAGUUGGAACUCAACAACAAGUCACUCUGUCAAUGCUUAAUUUAAUUGAAUGAAGCAAAAGCCUGAUACGCUGAUCGUUAAAAAAGCAAUGUGACAAGGGUAAUGACUUUUGUCUAACUGGAGAUGAAUCUCAUUUAGGGGUAGCAAAGCGGAAACUCAAGUGCGGGAUAUGAAAAUGGGAUUGAGAAAGAAUAACCGGAAAUGCUUCCAGAGGUUUAAAGAAAAAUCAUGGAAAUGUGAAAUAACUUGCCCUGGGUUAUCUUUUCUGACCAGUAGAAAGCUCAGUUAUUACAUCAUAGUGUUCUGGCGGGAUAAAGAAGGAAUAAAAAAGUAGUGCUCUUUAUGCAAUACAUGACUAAAUGCUGAAUGAUUACAAUCUCUGUUGUAUAUUUCAGUAAGAAAAACGCCUACAGAUAUUUAGUUGACAGGCAAGGCCAGUUUUUAAACCACAUUAGAUUUUUAUUGGUGGUUUUGGGCGGAUUGCGUAAUCGUGUUGAGGUUGUGGUACAACCAGGAUUCCUAGAUUUGCAAUUUCAGGCAAAAUUUUCCAAUCUAGAUAGAGUGUAAAGAUUUCGAUUUUAAUUUCAGCUACUCUACAUAUUACUGAAAGUCGCUUUGCAAUUCCUUACCAUAACGUGUA